AUGACUUACAUUCUGCAGAGGAAGCAUCCAUUACCCAGCCAAUCUUCUUCCACUGACCAUUCGUUGUGUCUCUGCACAGGGAUGAGGAGCCAACAGAAGGGAGUGGAGCAGAGUCCUGCAUCUCUGCAUGUUCCAGAGGGAGCCGUCGCCUCUCUCAACUGUACUUAUAGUGACAGCAAUUCUGAUUACUUCUCAUGGUACAGACAGCACCCCAGCAAAGGCCCUGAGUUGCUCCUGUAUGGAAGCUUGAAUAAAGACAAAGAGGAAGGAAGAUAUACAGCCCAGGUGAAUAAAGCCAAGCAGUACGUCUCCCUGCUCAUGAGAGACUCCCAGCCCAGCGACUCAGCCACGUACCUCUGUGCAGUGAGCACACAGUGCUCCCCAGGCACCUGCAGUCGGUACCCAAACCUGAUGGGGCCCCAGCAAUGCCUGAUGUAG